rnacentral:rRNA from 1 species
UGGUACCUUCGGUAUCCGCGUUGUAACCUCGAGACACGUUUUCCGUGCGGCGCUAUGGACAAGUUCCUUGGAACAGGACAUCGUAGAGGGUGAAAAUCCCGUACUUGCCAUGGAUGUACCGUGCUUUGCGAUACGUGCUCUAAGAGUCGAGUUGUUUGGGAUUGCAGCUCAAAAUGGGUGGUAGACUCCAUCUAAAGCUAAAUAUCGGGGAGAGACCGAUAGCGAACAAGUACCGUGAGGGAAAGAUGAAAAGCACUUUGGAAAGAGAGUUAAAAGUACGUGAAAUUGUCGAAAGGGAAGCGCUUGAAGUCAGCCAUGCCGCUCAGGACUCAGCCUGGCUUUUGCUUGGUGUAUUUCCUGGGUAGCAAGUCAGCAUUGGUUUGGAUCGUCGGAGAAGCAUAGUCGGAAUGUGGCGCCCUCGGGCGUGUUAUAGCCUUCUAUUGGAUACGACGAUCUAGACCAAGGAACGCAGCGCGCCUUAUGG